rnacentral:rRNA from 1 species
UAGGGAAUCUUCCACAAUGGACGCAAGUCUGGUGGAGCAACGCCGCGUGAGUGAAGAAGGUUUUCGGACCGUAAAGCUCUGUUGUUGGUGAAGAAGGAUAGAGGUAGUAACUGGCCUUUAUUUGACGGUAAUCAACCAGAAAGUCACGGCUAACUACGUGCCAGCAGCCGCGGUAAUACGUAGGUGGCAAGCGUUGUCCGGAUUUAUUGGGCGUAAAGCGAGCGCAGGCGGAAGAAUAAGUCUGAUGUGAAAGCCCUCGGCUUAACCGAGGAAUUGCAUCGGAAACUGUUUUCUGAGUGCAGAAGAGGAGAGUAGAACUCCAUGUGUAGCGGUGGAAUGCGUAGAUAUAUGGAAGAAUACCAGUGGCGAAGGCGGCUCUCUGGUCUGCAACUGACGCUGAGGCUCGAAAGCAUGGGUAGCGAACAGGAUUAGAUACCCUGGUAGUCCAUGCCGUAAACGAUGAGUGCUAAGUGUUGGGAGGCUUCCGCCUCUCAGUGCUGCAGCUAACGCAUUAAGCACUCCGCCUGGGGGAGUACGACCGCAAGGUUGAA